rnacentral:rRNA from 1 species
CGGACGGGUGAGUAAUGUCUGGGAAACUGCCCAUGGAGGGGGAUAACUACUGGAAACGGUAGCUAAUACCGCAUAACGUCGCAAGACCAAAGAGGGGGACCUUAGGGCCUCUUGCCAUCGGAUGUGCCCAGAUGGGAUUAGCUAGUAGGUGGGGUAACGGCUCACCUAGGCGACGAUCCCUAGCUGGUCUGAGAGGAUGACCAGCCACACUGGAACUGAGACACGGUCCAG